AGCGAACGCUGGCGGCAGGCUUAACACAUGCAAGUCGAGCGCCCCGCAAGGGGAGCGGCAGACGGGAGAGUAACACGUGGGAACAUACCUUUUGGUUCGGAACAACUGAGGGAAACUUCAGCUAAUACCGGAUAAGCCCUUACGGGGAAAGAUUUAUCGCCGAAAGAUUGGCCCGCGUCUGAUUAGCUAGUUGGUGAGGUAACGGCUCACCAAGGCGACGAUCAGUAGCUGGUCUGAGAGGAUGAUCAGCCUCACUGGGACUGAGACACGGCCCAGACUCCUACGGGAGGCAGCAGUGGGGAAUAUUGGACAAUGGGGGCAACCCUGAUCCAGCCAUGCCGCGUGAGUGAUGAAGGCCUUAGGGUUGUAAAGCUCUUUUGCCCGGGAAGAUGAUGACGGUACCGGGAGAAUAAGCCCCGGCUAACUUCGUG
rnacentral:rRNA from 1 species